CUCUUCCGGGGGGGAGGGGCGGCGAGGCGAGGCCUGCGGAGCGGAGGAAGACAAACAUAAAGAUGAAGUGCUUAAUUCAAGGUCACACAAUGUCGGGGAUGGACCUCCAGAUUUCCUUACUGGAAAACAAGCUCAGGGCUCCCACUGAUUGUACAUUAUGAGACGGAGUCUUGCUAUGUUGCCCAGGCUGGUCUUGAACUCCUCACCUCAAGCGAUCCUCCCGUCUUGGCCUCCCAAGUGUCAGGAUUACGGGCAUGUGCUAUCACACCCAACCUGAUACAUUGCCUUUAUAAAUUUUUUUUUCUUUAUUCUAAAAACCAGAAAAAACAAAACUGGAUACAUGUGCAGAACAUGCAGGUGAGACGUGGUCUUGUAACACAGUGGUUAAGAAUGUGACUUUGGAGCCAGCCUGCUAGGGGCUGAAUUCUGACUCAGCCAUUUACUAACUGUGUGACCUUAGGGAGGAGGACCUGGUUGAUAGAAGAAUUUAUCUCGUAGUCUUAACAUCCACUGUAAUUCCAAACUUUGAGGACGAUAGAGAUCAGUGGGCUUUGACUGCCCAGCAUGCAGUCUCCAUUCUUAGGUGGGUUCCCAAGCCUGUAAAAUGUAAGCCUUAUGCUGCUGAGGGCCAUCUUGCCACCCUGAGGGAAACGCUGCCUGAGAAUGAAACAAGCAUAAGUAAAAGCUGAGCUGUGAGAUGGAGCAAGAUGAAGGCCACAUGACAUCUUUGGAGCACCUGGAUCUAACUGUGCCUUAAGCUAGUCUAACCCUGAACAUUUCAUCAUUUCAUUGACAUGAGCCCAGGUUUUCUUUUUUUUUGGAUGGAGUCUUGCUCUGUCGCCCAGGCUGGAGUGCAGUAGCUCAAUCUCGGCUCACUGCAAGCUCCACCUCCCGGGUUCACGCCAUUCUCCUGCCUUAGCCUCCCAAGUAGCUGGGACAACAGGCGCCCACCACCACUCCCAGCUAAUUUUUUGUAUUUUUAGUAGAGACGGGGUUUUACCAUGUUAGCCGGGAUGGUCUUGAUCUCCUGACCUCAUGAUCCGCCCGCCUCGGCCUCCCAAAGUGCUGGGAUUACAGGUGUGAGCCACUGCACCCAGCCCUCAGGUUUUCCCUUUUUUUACCCCUCCUUUUGAAAAUUUGAUGUGGAAUUUUGCCACCUGCAGCCAGAAGAGUUUUAACUAAUCAGUGCCAUAAAUUUUAUAUAGUUCUCCUUGCAAAAUGUGGAUCAGCCUUUCUCAGCAAAUCCUUUGUCAUAAAGUGCUGAAUUGUAAGUUUGUCAUGAGAAUCACAUGAGAUCAUGCAUGUGAAGAACCUGGCAUUAUCCUCCUCAUAGAAAAAAACCAGUAAAUAUUAACUACAGGAAGCAAGGAAGGAGUGGGGUGAGGGGAAGAAGAAGGGGUACUGAUUUAAAAGAACCCUGGAGUCCUAAGGAUAAUCUAGGAACCCUCAGACCCAAUCCGAUACCCCUAUUCUAAAUGCUCCUAGUGCCCUGUACCUUCCCCUCAUAAGCCUUCAUUAUCAUUGUAAUGAUAUGUUUAUGUAAUAUUUUGAUUAAUGUCUCUCCUUCACUGACCUAGCAGUUCUAGCAGGGCAGUGAUUUUGCUGUGUUGCAUCCCCAGCACCUAGUCUGGUAUGUGGCAUUCAGCAUAUGUUUAUUGAAUGAAUGGCCAUGUGGUUAUUCAGAUCCUCCUUGAUUAUUGGGGUUAGGAUUGUGGCAGAAGUGGCAAAAUCAGGGAGAGUAGUCCCUGUCCCCUCUGUAUCUUAUACACUGCCCACACUCCCAACACACAUACACAUACAGAGAAUUUUGUCUCAAUUAGAUAAUUAACUUCUGCUUGGUUGUAAACCAAACCACUGGUUCUUAAACUUUCAUUGGAUCAUUUUAUUGAAGAAUUAAAUAGUGUGGUUCUGGCCUAAUGUCUGGAAAGCCUUGCAGAGGAGUGGAUUAGGUCUUUGUGAUAAACAGGCAGCCUUCCCUGCUCCUGUGUCUUUAUAAAAUCUAUUUAACUGGAGUAGUCCACCCUCCCUCAGGCUCUUACAGGAAUAUGUUGGAGGCUGUAGGAAGGUGGGAAACCGAGAGGGAAAGGACUGGGCCGCUGGAGACUUCACUCAUUCCCUAGCAAGAAACAAAAGCAGUAAAAGGUGGCCCGAGGACAACCUGAAGCUCACUCCUUCAGCACUUUUGGCUGGAGGUCACUUGUUGGAGCCCCACUCAGAGCUCAGCACACCACCCCACCAGCAGCCUCCUCCUCCCAGCUGAGGCUGCAUUUCAUCCCUUCCCCCAGCCUGCUUUCCCUGAGAUAGGGGAGUGUUUCCCAGGGCCCAUGUGACUUCCACUGGCAAGUGACGAUUACCAAUGGUUUACUAGUCAGUGAAACUACCAAAGGCUUUUGUGCUGUAGUAAUCCUUUUCCUGUUUAAAACUCUGGGGAUUUUCUAAUGUUGCCAAUAGUUUUUCAAGUCAGCAAUUACUGUGUGGAUUAUGUAAUGGCUCGGUAUUA
rnacentral:lncRNA from 1 species